UCCUUUGAAGGGUAAAAAUUUUAUUUUUGAGGAACUUCUUACUGCACAUUUUCCAAGAGAGUCACAUAAGAAAGCAAAAAUGUUAUCCUCCCCUCAUCCUAGAAAUAAAUAAGGACAUAAUUUUUUUUUUAAUCAUGACACUUGGAGGCUUAGCGCCAGCAUCCAAAAUGAACAAAAACGGAAAAAAAAGCAUUUAUUUUAUAUUUCAGAUUUCUUUGGUUGGGGUUCUCCCCAUGCGGUAUUAAUAUUACUUGUUUCAAUAUCUAUUACCCAAACAGUAAAAACCAGGAAAAAAAUAUAAACCUAGCGCUUGCUGAAACUGGGGAGGCUGCUCUCUUGUCUUCUGUGCAGGAAUUCCCAGGUUCUCAGUUUGCUGGAAAAAUUUGUUGACAUUUUCUUUUUGUAGUUGUUUCUUAAAGAAUAACAGCAAACAUUCCAAUGUCCAAAUCUUGGUUCGUCUUCCACUUUAUUGCUUGGAUGUUUCUUUGGUGUUGGUAAGGCUGUGGCCUGCUUUUUGCUUUGUUUCUGAACGGUCAUUAAUUCUUUAGGUCACCCUGCCGAUGGUGAAGGUGCCUGGGGAGCCUGGUGUUACUCAGCACUGCUCUGCUCGGUGGAUGGAGCAGGGUUCUCAGUUGGUGCUUCACCUGCCGUGGCCUCUUUGCCAUCUUGUGAAGGAGCGUUAGGAGAACGUGGGCGACGCCGGUAAUUGUAGGGACGCCGGUAUCCACGGCGAACAGGCGGCUGGUUUGGACCACUGGAGGCUUGCUGAUUUUCUUUAUCUUCAGCCUCUCCAACUGCUGGGGCAGGUCGUGGGCGAGGAGGUCCCCUGCUAUGGUACCUUGGGCGGUAAGUUGGAUUUCGAUGAAAUGGUCCCUGAAGUUGUGCUCCUUCUGGGACUCCAUCCUUCAGCUCUCCAAUCUCAACAGCCUCGUAAUCCCGGGGAGGGCCAUGGCGCCUUCCAUAGUAGCCACGUCUGUAACGGCGCCAAUCAGCGCGUAACGACUGCCCUCCACAGGAACUCCACCCCGGCCAGUCACACUGGCUGCUUCUGCACCCUUCUCUCCUUAAACCACAUCAAACUCUACAGUUUCUCCAUCUCCUACACUGCGCAGAUAUUUCUGUGGGUUAUUCUUCUUGAUGGCAGUCUGAUGUAUAAAUAGAUCUUCUUUGGUGUCAUUUCGAUUUAUAAAUCCAUAUCCAUUUCUGACGUUGAACCAUUUGACAGUGCCAAGGACUUUGGUGGCGAGAACUUUUUUCUCCGCGUCUUCGCUGUCGGCGGCGGUGGCUAAAGAGGCGGCGGCCGCGGUGCCCGUGGCUGCGGGGGCCCCGUCCCCACCCGGGUUUCCUGCGACGAGGGCGGCGGGCGCCGGGGCCGCGGCUUGGGGUGCACCGCUGCCCACCCGGCUCUUGGUCGCGGGGUCCUGGGGAGCCGCGGCGGCCGCCACCGCAGGAGCCUGCUGGAGGGUGGUGGUGAUGAUGGUGGCCUCGCCCGCCUCGCUCAUGCCUCCUCCUCCUCUGCUCUCGCUCAUGCGCCUCGGUGGCGGUUGGUCGGCGGUUAGUGCGGCUGGUGGUCGCCGCGGCCGGGGCUCGCUCUCGGGGAGGCCGGGGCUGAUCUCGCGGCGCAGGCGGCGGCGGCAGAGGUGGGGUCGCGCAGCGGAGGCAGCUCGAGCUUCGGGAUGCGCGCUCGCUUCUUGGGCUCC
rnacentral:lncRNA from 1 species